rnacentral:rRNA from 1 species
UACGUAGGGACCGAGCGUUGUCCGGAUUCAUUGGGCGUAAAGAGCUCGUAGGCGGCUACUCAAGUCGAAUGUGAAACCUCGAGGCUUAACCUCGAGCCUGCAUUCGAUACUGGGCGGCUAGAGUCUGGUAGGGGGAUCUGGAAUUCCUGGUGUAGCGGUGAAAUGCGCAGAUAUCAGGAGGAACACCGGUGGCGAAGGCGGGACUCUGGGCCGAUACUGACGCUGAGGAGCGAAAGCGUGGGGAGCAAACAGG